GAUGAACGCUGGCGGCGUGCUUAAUACAUGCGAGUCGAACGAACGGACGAGUAGCUUGCUUCUCUGAUGUUAGCGGCGGAAGUGUGAGUAACAUGAGGAGAACCUACCUAUAAGACUGGUAUAACUUCGGGAAACCGGAGCUAAUACCGGAUAAUAUUUUGAUCCGCAUGGUUCAAAAGUGAAAGACGGUCUUGCUGUCACUUAUAGAUGUAUCCGCGCUGCAUGAGUUAUUUGGUAAAGUAACGGCUUACUAAGGCAACGAUGCUUUGCCGACCUGAGAGGGUGAUCAGCCACACGGGAAGUGAGACGCGGUACAGGCUCGUAGAGACGGCAGAAGUGGCGAAUCUACCGUAAUGGGCGAAAGCCUGACGAAGCAACGCAGGGUGAGUGAUGAAGGUCUUCGGAUCGUAAGACGCUGUUAUUAGGGAAGAACAUAUGCAUAAGUAGCUGUGCACAUCUUGACGGUACCUAAUCAAAAAGCAACGGCUAACUACGUG
rnacentral:rRNA from 1 species